UAGGGAAUCUUCGGCAAUGGACGAAAGUCUGACCGAGCAACGCCGCGUGAGUGAAGAAGGUUUUCGGAUCGUAAAACUCUGUUGUUAGAGAAGAACAAGGACGUUAGUAACUGAACGUCCCCUGACGGUAUCUAACCAGAAAGCCACGGCUAACUACGUGCCAGCAGCCGCGGUAAUACGUAGGUGGCAAGCGUUGUCCGGAUUUAUUGGGCGUAAAGCGAGCGCAGGCGGUUUCUUAAGUCUGAUGUGAAAGCCCCCGGCUCAACCGGGGAGGGUCAUUGGAAACUGGGAGACUUGGGUGCAGAAGAGGAGAGUGGAAUUCCAUGUGUAGCGGUGAAAUGCGUAGAUAUAUGGAGGAACACCAGUGGCGAAGGCGGCUCUAUGGUCAGUAACUGACGCUGAGGCUAGAAAGCGUGGGGAGCAAACAGG
rnacentral:rRNA from 1 species